GCCCGUGUGGAACAAUCGGACCGCGCACUGGACUCACAAUCCAGAGGUCGCCGGUUCGAAUCCCGCGGUGGGCG
rnacentral:tRNA from 1 species